rnacentral:rRNA from 1 species
AUACGGAGGUUGCGAGCGUUGUUCGGAUUUACUGGGCGUAAAGCGCGCGUAGGCGGCCUGUCAAGUUGGGCGUGAAAGCCCGGGGCUCAACCCCGGAAUUGCGUUCAAAACUGGCAAGCUAGAGACCGAGAGAGGUGAGUGGAAUUCCCAGUGUAGAGGUGAAAUUCGUAGAUAUUGGGAAGAACACCAGUGGCGAAGGCGGCUCACUGGCUCGGUACUGACGCUGAGGUGCGAAAGCGUGGGGAGCAAACAGGAUUAGAUACCCCAGUAGUCC